GGAAUAUUAAGUCUGUCCUGGUCACCUGCAAAGAGCAAUCUUUUCACACUGGAUGAGCUAUUCUAGGCCUAAAAAGUAUUUCCCUGCUUUAAGUCCCUACCCCACAGGAUCUCUGCUCAUGGUUAAAGAAAAGAAGUUGGGGCCGGGUGCAGUGGCUCACCUCUGUAAUCCCAGCAAUUUGGGAGGCUGAGGUGGGCGGAUCACGAGGUCAGGAGAUCGAGAUCAUCCUGGCUAACACGGUGAAACCCUGUCUCUACUAAAAAUACAAAAAAAUUAGCCGGCCGUGGUGGCGGGCGCCUGCAGUCCCAGCUACUCAGGAGGCUGAGGCAGAAGAAUGGCGUGAACCCAGGAGGCGGAGCUUGCACUGAGCCGAGAUUGCGCCACUGCACUCCAGCCUGGGGCACAGAGCGAGACUCCGUCUCAAAAAAAAAAAAGAAAGAAAAAAGAAAAGAAGUUGAAGGAGAUGAACUGAUCUCUGGGAAUAGAGUCUGCCGCCAUCCUUCCUGCAUCGACCAGGGGUGCUCUUCUCAGGGGUCACGAGAAAUACUCACUUUUGCUGAUUCUGGAACCUAACAUCUUUCCGGCCGUGGAAAAAGAAAAAUACCUGAGAAGUUUGUGAUAUGACAAAGCCCAGAGCAUUCAACUAACUGGAGGGCAUCUCCUCACCCCGAUUAGGUUGCUAUUGUUCUCUGAAGCAGCUGACAUUUCUAAAAGAGUUUUUGUUGGAUUAAUUAUCUUCAUACAUUGAGACCUUAUUGUUUAGUUCUGAGGGCUUUUGUUCAAAAGCUUAAACGUAAAUAAAUAAUGUGUCUCCAAUUACUGCACUAGAAUUGAAGAAAUAUCCUGAGGGAAUAGUAAAGUAAACUUAUUCCUGAAUGCUCUCCCUCUCUACCCCCACCCCCUCUUUUUAAGUUAAUCAAAACUGCCAUGAAUAUUAUUUCCUAUUUUGGAAUAAAUUAUUUUUCUAAAG
rnacentral:lncRNA from 1 species